rnacentral:snRNA from 1 species
UAGAAGAUUAGCAUGGCCCUGCAUAAGGAUGACAUGCAAAUUCAUGAAGCGUUCCUUAUUUUU